rnacentral:rRNA from 1 species
CUGGCGGCGUGCCUAACACAUGCAAGUCGAGCGGAAAUACCAAAUGUACUCGUACAGGCGGAUUUAGCGGCGACGGGUGAGUAACACGUGAGCAACCUGCCUUUUGCUGGGGAAUAACAUUGGGAAACCAGUGCUAAUACCGCAUAACGUCCAUGGGGGACAUCCCUUGUGGACUAAAGGAGAAAUCCGGCAGAAGAUGGGCUCGCGUCCGAUUAGUAGUUGGCGGGGUAACGGCCCACCAAGACCGCGAUCCGGUAGCCGAACUGAGAGGUUGAUCGGCCACAUUGGGACUGAGACACGGCCCAGACUCCUACGGGAGGCAGCAGUGGGGAAUAUUGGGCAAUGGGGGAAACCCUGACCCAGCAACGCCGCGUGAAGGACGAAGGCCUUCGGGUUGUAAACUUCUUUGAUCAGGGACGAAAGCAAUGACGGUACCUGAAGAACAAGCCACGGCUAACUACGUGCCAGCCGCCGC